GCAACCAGUACUUCUUCUCAUCACCAAAAACCUGUCGCAUAUUUUUACUGAAACCCAAGCUGAAUCCAUUCUUAUCUGUUCCAUGUCGAAAUACAGGACUUCUAAAAGCCUCUAAAAAAGACAGCAGAGCAAUCACCAUCUACUACAAGAACACAUACAACAACACAUCCACAGUAAUGCUUCAGGCUAUUGUAAACAAGAGCAUCACAGAAAAGAUAAACAGGAGAGCAUAACGCCGGUGUAAAAUAAACCUUACGUCACUCUGUGACAAAAGAGGCCAUCUCAAAGCAAAACCAGCGUGACUCUCAUUGUGUUAUUGCCCAGGGACACCCGGCUCUAUCUAGAACGGUAGGUUUGGGGCUACGGAUGCUCAGUGACGCACCAGAGCUGCCAGGAGGCGUCUCCUUCUGAUAGAAGGGAAUACUGCACCCACACCCACCCUGCGGAUCUGUCAGACUGACAGGUCACAAGACCUCACCGGGAGCUUUUGACAGCAGUCCUCACAGUGAAAACCCUGGCUACUCCUUUACAAAUAUAUUUGUGGUUGGGACUAAAGCUAUUCACAGGAGCGAGGAGCGUGGGGUGACAUCUCUCAGACAUUCCUCAGGGAUCAUUCCUCUACUGCACAGUGAAGGUCUACUUGAUGCUGAGAGCCUGUCCACACGCCUAUGUACCCCUAGUGCUCAGCCAUGAAGUGGCACAUAGUAGAUGCUCAAUAAAUCUCUGGUACUGAAUGUGAUUAAAAUCCCGUCCCGCAUGAAUGACCUGGCAAUUAGGAAAGUCUUACCAAAUAAAGAAUAAUUUCAUGAAAAUAAUAAAGCAAUUCUGGCAGGGGAUGACUUUUUUUGUUGUUGUUUGGUAUUCACGAGGAGUAUCUUUGAAUAUUUAAAAUACUCAAUUUUAAUUUUGUUUUGCUUGCAUUUAAGGUAAAUAGUGCAGAAAACAAAUGAAUUAACUAAAGCCUAAUCAAGCAAUACCUAGUAAAAAUUCGGGCAUUUUAGAUAUAAGUUUAAAAAAAAUAAUCUUUUUACACAUAAAGAAAACACUUCUAUUUAGAAAAGCUAAAAAAAAAAAAAUCUUCUUAGUCAAUUCUUGUUAUUUCAGUGGUUGUGCUCUAUAAAGCUGCCAUGAGCACUGGCUUCCUCCCAGGGAAAACACUGGGAAGGUUCCUGCGAGCCUCCAGUCAUACUUUUGUCAGCAGAACUAUUUAUUCAUAACCUGGUUUUCUGUGCUUCUGUGCCUGAAGACACAGUAUCGACAGCUUAUUCAACAUUUAUUGUUGAUUCACUGACACAGAACUCACACCCAACGUCACUAUGACUCACGCCUGAAGGACGCUUACCCGACACACAGAUUUUCUCCAUAAAGCACCUCACACGAGUGCUCAGAAACACCGACAGUACUUCAGCACUGUUCUUGAAGAGCAUUUUAAACAGAAAUGACCAACACAAAGCACAACAAUGCAAAAAAAACCAAAAAAACAAAAACGUGGCAUUAAGUAGAGUGAAAAGCACAGCGUGUCACAAUAUGGGAGCUGAGACAAGAAGGCAGCGUCUCCUUGUUUUAUCUCCUUGCUUGACAUGCACAUGGGGCACGCACAUUCCUGGCCACCCCGUGCAUGUCUGCAAAUGGCCACAAAAGCUCUGUGAGUUCUGGUUUUGGGUAACAGAGAAACGUUAGCAAGAUGUGAAUUCACAAACACAGAAUCUGCAAAUAAUGAGGACUGACUAUAAAUGAGCUCAAGUCUAUAAAAUCAGUGUCUGAAAUAAUUCACUAACGAAAAACUGUACUAUAUACUUUUAUAUACCAAAAAAAAAAA